CGUGGGUAACCUGCCUGUAAGACUGGGAUACCUCCGGGAAACCGGGGCUAAUACCGGAUGCUUGAUUGAACCGCAUGGUUCAAUCAUAAAAGGUGGCUUUUAGCUACCACUUGCAGAUGGACCCGCGGCGCAUUAGCUAGUUGGUGAGGUAACGGCUCACCAAGGCGACGAUGCGUAGCCGACCUGAGAGGGUGAUCGGCCACACUGGGACUGAGACACGGCCCAGACUCCUACGGGAGGCAGCAGUAGGGAAUCUUCCGCAAUGGACGAAAGUCUGACGGAGCAACGCCGCGUGAGUGAUGAAGGUUUUCGGAUCGUAAAACUCUGUUGUUAGGGAAGAACAAGUACCGUUCGAAUAGGGCGGCACCUUGACGGUACCUAACCAGAAAGCCACGGCUAACUACGUGCCAGCAGCCGCGGUAAUNANCGUAGGUGGCAAGCGNUUGUCCGGAAUUAUUUGGGCGUAAAGCGCGCGCAGGCGGUUUCUUAAGUCUGAUGUGAAAGCCCCCGGCUCAACCGGGGAGGGUCAUUGGAAACUGGGGNAACUUGAGUGCAGAAGAGGAGAGUGGAAUUCCACGUGUAGCGGNUGAAANUGCGUAGAGAUGUGGNANGGAACACCNAGUGGNCGAAGNGCGNACUCUCUGGUCUGUAACUGACGCUGAGGCGCGAAAGCGUGGGGAGCGAACAGNGUAUUAGAUACCCUGGUAGUCCACGCCGUAAACGAUGAGUGCUAAGUGUUAGAGGGUUUCCGCCCUUUAGUGCUGCAGCAAACGCAUUAAGCACUCCGCCUGGGGAGUACGGUCGCAAGACUGAAACUCAAAGGAAUUGACGGGGGCCCGCACAAGCGGUGGAGCAUGUGGUUUAAUUCGAAGCAACGCGAAGAACCUUACCAGGUCUUGACAUCCUCUGACAACCCUAGAGAUAGGGCUUCCCCUUCGGGGGCAGAGUGACAGGUGGUGCAUGGUUGUCGUCAGCUCGUGUCGUGAGAUGUUGGGUUAAGUCCCGCAACGAGCGCAACCCUUGAUCUUAGUUGCCAGCAUUCAGUUGGGCACUCUAAGGUGACUGCCGGUGACAAACCGGAGGAAGGUGGGGAUGACGUCAAAUCAUCAUGCCCCUUAUGACCUGGGCUACACACGUGCUACAAUGGGCAGAACAAAGGGCAGCGAAGCCGCGAGGCUAAGCCAAUCCCACAAAUCUGUUCUCAGUUCGGAUCGCAGUCUGCAACUCGACUGCGUGAAGCUGGAAUCGCUAGUAAUCGCGGAUCAGCAUGCCGG
rnacentral:rRNA from 1 species